rnacentral:rRNA from 2 species
GAGCGGUAGCACAGAGAGCUUGCUCUCGGGUGACGAGCGGCGGACGGGUGAGUAAUGUCUGGGAAACUGCCUGAUGGAGGGGGAUAACUACUGGAAACGGUAGCUAAUACCGCAUAACGUCUUCGGACCAAAGUGGGGGACCUUCGGGCCUCAUGCCAUCAGAUGUGCCCAGAUGGGAUUAGCUAGUAGGUGGGGUAAUGGCUCACCUAGGCGACGAUCCCUAGCUGGUCUGAGAGGAUGACCAGCCACACUGGAACUGAGACACGGUCCAGACUCCUACGGGAGGCAGCAGUGGGGAAUAUUGCACAAUGGGCGCAAGCCUGAUGCAGCCAUGCCGCGUGUAUGAAGAAGGCCUUCGGGUUGUAAAGUACUUUCAGCGAGGAGGAAGGCAUUAAGGUUAAUAACCUUAGUGAUUGACGUUACUCGCAGAAGAAGCACCGGCUAACUCCGUGCCAGCAGCCGCGGUAAUACGGAGGGUGCAAGCGUUAAUCGGAAUUACUGGGCGUAAAGCGCACGCAGGCGGUCUGUCAAGUCGGAUGUGAAAUCCCCGGGCUCAACCUGGGAACUGCAUUCGAAACUGGCAGGCUAGAGUCUUGUAGAGGGGGGUAGAAUUCCAGGU